rnacentral:rRNA from 1 species
GACGAACGCUGGCGGCGUGCUUAACACAUGCAAGUCGAACGGAAAGGCCCUGCUUUUGUGGGGUGCUCGAGUGGCGAACGGGUGAGUAACACGUGAGUAACCUGCCCUUGACUUUGGGAUAACUUCAGGAAACUGGGGCUAAUACCGGAUAGGAGCUCCUGCUGCAUGGUGGGGGUUGGAAAGUUUCGGCGGUUGGGGAUGGACUCGCGGCUUAUCAGCUUGUUGGUGGGGUAGUGGCUUACCAAGGCUUUGACGGGUAGCCGGCCUGAGAGGGUGACCGGCCACAUUGGGACUGAGAUACGGCCCGGACUGCUACGGGAGGCAGCAGUGGGGAAUAGUGCACAAUGGGCGGAAGCCUGAUGCAGCAACGCCGCGUGCGGGAUGACGGCCUUCGGGUUGUAAACCGCUUGCGCCUGUGACGAAGCGUGAGUGACGGUAAUGGGUAAAGAAGCACCGGCUAACUACGUG